UACGAGGGGGGCAAGCGUUGUUCGGAAUUAUUGGGCGUAAAGAGCUCGUAGGCGGUCUGUCGCGUCGAAUGUGAAAACCCGGGGCUCAACUCCGGGCUUGCAUUCGAUACGGGCAGGCUAGAGUUCGGUAGGGGAGUCUGGAAUUCCUGGUGUAGCGGUGAAAUGCGCAGAUAUCAGGAGGAACACCGGUGGCGAAGGCGGGACUCUGGGCCGAUACUGACGCUGAGGAGCGAAAGCGUGGGGAGCGAACAGG
rnacentral:rRNA from 1 species